AUGUAGCAUGGCACACAUGCAUGGAAAUUGGAACAGUGCAGAGAAGAUUAGCAUGGCUCCUGUGCAAGGAUAACACACAAAUUUGUGAUGUGUUCCAUACUUUU
rnacentral:snRNA from 10 species